GCGUGCUUAACACAUGCAAGUCGAACGUGAAACCCAGUACUCGUAUUGGGGAGUAAAGUGGGCGAACGGGUGAGUAACACGUUGGUGACCUGCCUCGAGGAGGGGAAUAACCGUGGGAAACCACGGCUAAUACCCCGGAUGUCUAAGUGUUUAGAAAGCUCAGACUAAAGCUCCGGCGCCUCGGGAGGGGCCUGCGGGCUAUCAGCUUGUUGGUGGGGUAAAGGCCUACCAAGGCUAAGACGGCUAGGGGGCGUGAGAGCGCGACCCCCCACAAUGGAACUGAGACACGGUCCAUACUCCUACGGGAGGCAGCAGUGAGGAAUAUUGCACAAUGGGGGCAACCCUGAUGCAGCAACGCCGCGUGAACGAUGAAGGCCUUCGGGUUGUAAAGUUCUUUUCUGAGGGAAGAACAUGACGGUACCUCAGGAAUAAGUCCCGGCUAACUACGUGCCAGCAGCCGCGGUAAAACGUAGGGGGCAAGCGUUAUCCGGAUUUACUGGGCGUAAAGCGCACGUAGGCGGCGCCGUAAGUUGGGCGUGAAAGCUCUCGGCUUAACUGAGAGAGGUCGUUCAAUACUGCAGCGCUUGAGGUUGGAAGAGGAGAGUGGAAUUCCCGGUGUAGUGGUGGACUUGUGUUGAUAUCGGGAGGAACACCAGUGGCGAAA
rnacentral:rRNA from 1 species